rnacentral:rRNA from 1 species
GACGAACGCUGGCGGCGUGCCUAAUACAUGCAAGUCGAACGCAGUGGGGACGGGUGAGUAACACGUGGGUAACCUCCCAUCAGAGGGGAUAACACUUGGAAACAGGUGCUAAACCGAUACUGAUGGAUGGACCCGCUGUGCAUUAGCUAGUUGGUGAGGUAACGGCGCACCAAGGCCACGAUGCAUAGCCGGCCUGAGAGGGUGAUCGGCCACACUGGGACUGAGACACUGCCCAGACGCCUCCGGGAGGCAGCAGUCGGGAAUCUUCGGCAAUGGGCGAAAGGCUGAGCGAGUUACGCCGCGUGGGUGAAGAAGGUUUUCGGUUCGUAAAACUCUGUUGUUAGAGAGGCGGUAUCUAACCAAAAAGCCACGGAUAACUACGUGCCAGCAGCCGCGGUAAUUC